AGGAUGGCCUAGUUCUGAACCUGUUCGGGCUCUUCUGUAGAUGACAUCUGGGUAGAGAGAGGAAUCAACAGCUUGGAAAUUCAGCCAAGUGAUCUGGCAGGAUGGGCAUUUGCCUGGCAUAUUUUAUAGAGGUAAUUUAACACUGUUUUAUUCAAUCUUUAAUU
rnacentral:lncRNA from 1 species